UUUUGACUACGAGGUACCGUAUAUUUUUAAUUUUCAACAUUCAUUCGUAACAUUGGUGAUUUGGUCUGAUCUACCUGACAGCUAAAUGGAGGUAGUGUACACCUGCAAUGAGGACUCUUCAAGUGAUGCUAAAGACUGGAUAUCCGAGGAGAAAAGUUGCAGCUCGCUAUCGAGUCAAAACGUUUUAGCAAUCAGUCGACAGAAAACUGGUUCACAUAAAAGAAAGAGAGGAAAUGAAACAAGUAUGAGUUGUGAGGUUGGGGUGUUUGAUCUGGAUAAGCCCUGGGAAUGGUUCACAGUAACAAACCGUCAAGCCAUUGUCACCAAUCUACAAUGGAACAAAACUGGAACCAGGUUACUGAUAACUGAUUCUACUGGGUUAUGUCAAGUCUGGCAAAUGCAGGUAAGAAAAACUGUUGUCUUUAAAAAAAAGCUCACCCAACUCCCUCUAUAGUUAUUCCUUAAGAAGUAUUUUAAAGCUUGUUUUCAUUUUUAAAAUAUCCAUUUUUAUGAGAAAAAAAAUAUAUCAAGUUUAAAUAGAAUGUCAGCAUAAUAUAAUUAUUUCAUUUUAAGUGAUCAUGCAAUCAUCACAGUUUGUCUUUGUCUAUUUCGUGUAGUAACGUAGCAUUGGACAAAAAUUUUUUUGAUGAAAUAUAUGAUUUAGUAAAUGAAAUGCCUUGAAGAUACAGAUGUUUUUGAUGAAUACUGAAAAAAUCCCUUGCAAUCUUAAAAUUAUAUGAAUAAGAGAAAUCUUCUGAUAUAAUGAAAGUCAUAAUUUCUAUUGAAAUGAUUUUUUCUGUUUUACUUGUUUUGUCUCUCUCUCUUUACAAUUGUACACAUGGACAAUGCUAAUAGAAUAAGGUAGAUCUCUAUAUAUGUACCUUGAAAAGGUUUCUCAAAUCAGCAAAAAGUUAUACGUAUGAUUGGAUAAAAAUUUUAUUGUUCACAAAAUUAAUUCAGAUAAUGUAACAUUAUUUUUCAUUCUAAAUUAUGUUAAGGAAAACCUGGUCAACAAAUGGGAGUGUGUGGGAUCCUCUUCCCUCCCUGGAGAGGAUAUACUGGCAGUUGCGUGGUUCCACACAGGGGUUCAGAUUUUGUUCAGUCCUGAGAAGAAAGAUGCCAUCACAUAUGAGGAUAAAUUUCUGAGGGAGCGAUAUCAACCUUCAGUGACCCAGUUUGGGGGUAAACCAGUGGACGGCUGGAUAGCAGUGACUGCAAGUGGACUUGUUGAGUGCUGUGUUAUCAACAGACAGGAGCCUUAUAUAACCUCCUCCCACAAAUCUCUGUCUCUCACCCCCCAGAGACUCAGUCUGGCGGCUGUGGCCUAUUCCAACAUGGGCGGAUUUGUGAUUGCUACCAGUGAUGGUCAGUUAUCCUCUCUAGUCCAGUGUUUCCAUGUAACAGCACAGCUUACUACUGAAGGAGUCCAAGUCACCAGCAAACCAACGUCUAGUCUCCAUAUGAAGAGUCGCAUGGAGUAUUCCACCAAUGAAAGCCAGCAGAUGACUGUGACAAAUCUGACCUUUAUGAACCCAGAGUCAUGUGACACUCUUAUCGUUAGCUGUGGGUGCAAUGGCUACAGUUCUAUGGAAAUCUGGCAGCUUGUCGAGCAGCAUACAAAUCUUCAUCAGCUUUGCCAGUCAAGUCAAGGAGUCGAUAAUGGCUUUAAGAUUCAUAAAUGGAUGCAUCACUCUACUAUUCAGCAUACUUCAUAUCUCUCUUGCAUUGCAACAUCAAAACUUCCUGUCAAACAUGUAAUGGAGACUGGGUUUUCACCGUACAUUGCUGCAGCAUACAAGGACGGUUCCAUCAAACUCAUUCAUCGACACAAUCACCAAGUUCUGCACACAUCGGCUGAUGCAUUACGAAUGCAUGCAGUCAACAGCUCUCCUGCUAAAAAGUCUAAAAAAUCUGUCAACAUCACUAAUCUUAUACAGACCUUCUGUGGGUGUGGUCUGAUUGCAGUUCAUGAUGGAAAGAUCUCUGUGCUCAAGGUUUACAGUGUAAAGGAUGGUGCUAUAUCUAUGUCUGCCCUGCUUGUGUGUCUGCUGUUUGAGUAUGCUCUGGUCACUGGCAAUGAUUGGUGGGGGAUCCUACUGGCAGUUAAACCUGGUAACAUAGAAGCAAUCUGCCAGAAGUUGAUUGACAAUUUCUUCAAGCAGUCGCCCGCCAUGCAGGAGUCAGUAGCAAUGAGACUGCAGGCCCUAAAGGUGGCCCUGUACAGCACCAACUUCUCCAGCCGGGAGAAGGCCUCUGACUGUCACACUCGACUGGUUCUCCAGGCCAUCAAUGCCUUGUUCAGAUGUCUGUUGAGACCCAAGAACAUCACGUCACAGGAUAAGAGUCCUGGUGAGAAGCUUAGUGCAGUUUGUGUCAAGUCUACGGAUGGUGAUCUGGACAAAGUCUUGUUUAACCUUGACAAAGAAGAAUACCAGGUGGAUACAAAGCGAAGAGACAAGGCAGGGGAUGGGAUGAUGCAGUCCUUGAAGCCCCUGAUUCAGUGGAUUGCAGACUUCUGCCUACACUUGCUGGCAUCCAUCCCCCUGUAUCAGUCAUACCCCAGCUUCCCUGGCUCCUCUCUCCUGAGUGACAGCUCUUUGCUGAGAACCCUGAGAGAACUACUGGUCAUCAUUCGAAUCUGGAGCACAUCUUCUCCUUCUGUGGCACCCAUAUUCACCACCACAUCAAAUGUAGACUGUUUAGCUCACCUGUAUAAAGUGCUUACCAAAGCCUGGUUGUGCUGCAAAGAUGGAUCAAAGCUCGAAUACGACGAGACAUUGCUGGAUGAGUGCUGUGUUCUUCCCAGCAAGCUCCUGGUGCCGGCCAUGAACCAGAGCUUUCGACUCUAUAGCUCCGGGUACACUGUGUUUGGACAGUCUUUUCCUGUGAACUUUGUGUGGGGGGAAUACCCCGAGUAUCUGUACAGCCAGAAAAAGUCCAAACUGAUGUACGUCUCAGAUGUUCUGACAGAGAACCAGCAACAUCAUGACAUAAUCAGGCAGAUUCACCUGGGGGUCCAUUUGUCUGAGAAUGUUCGCCAGUGCUGUCGGUGUGGGGGAUUCUCACUUUUAACCAGUGUUACAAAGUCAUCCAUCAUGAAGGCCUGGGAACAAAGAUGGCAGAGGCAUUGUCUCUGUGCAGCACACUGGAAGCUUUACACAGAGAAUGAAUGAUUUUUCUUUAUAUAAAAUUUGCAUUGUUAUUCAUUGUGACAUAUAUAUUAGAUAAAACUUUCAUUAAAAAUGUAGAA
rnacentral:misc_RNA from 1 species